rnacentral:rRNA from 1 species
UGCCAGCAGCCGCGGUAAUACGGAGGGUGCGAGCGUUAAUCGGAAUCACUGGGCGUAAAGGGCGCGCAGGCGGUCUUGUCAGUCAGGUGUGGAAGCCCGGGGCUCAACCCCGGAUGGUCACUUGAAACAGCAAGACUUGAGUACUGGAGAGGAAAGCGGAAUUCCUGGUGUAGAGGUGAAAUUCGUAGAUAUCAGGAGGAACACCGAUGGCGAAGGCAGCUUUCUGGACAGAUACUGACGCUGAGGCGCGAAGGCGUGGGUAGCGAACGGGAUUAGAUA